rnacentral:rRNA from 1 species
UACGUAGGGUGCGAGCGUUGUCCGGAAUUAUUGGGCGUAAAGGGCUCGUAGGCGGUUUGUCGCGUCGGGAGUGAAAACACCGGGCUUAACUCGGUGCUGGCUUCCGAUACGGGCAGACUAGAGGUAUUCAGGGGAGAACGGAAUUCCUGGUGUAGCGGUGAAAUGCGCAGAGUAUCAGGAGGAACACCGGUGGCGAAGGCGGGUUCUCUGGGAAUUACCUGACGCUGAGGAGCGAAAGUGUGGGGAGGCGAACAGG